AUUGAACGCUGGCGGCAGGCCUAACACAUGCAAUCCGAACGAGGGGGGGACGGGUGGGAAAUGUCUGGGAACCGGCCCGAUGGGGGGGGAAACCUACUGGAAAGGUAGGCUAAAACCCAAUACCAUGGGAGUUGCCAAGAUGGGAUUAGCUAGUAGGGGGGGUAACGGCUCACCUAGGCGACGACCCCUAGCUGGUCUGAGAGGAUGACCAGCCACACUGGAACUGGGACACGGUCCAGACUCCUACGGGAGGCAGCAGUGGGGAAUAUUGCACAAUGGGCGCAAGCCUGAUGCAGCCAUGCCGCGUGUAUGAAGAAGGCCUUCGGGUUGUAAAGUACUUUCAGCGAGGAGGCGUUACUCGCAGAAGAAGCACCGGCUAACUCCGUGCCAGCAGCCGCGGUAAUUC
rnacentral:rRNA from 1 species